rnacentral:rRNA from 1 species
UGGGGAAUUUUGGACAAUGGGGGAAACCCUGAUCCAGCCAUCCCGCGUGUGCGAUGAAGGCCUUCGGGUUGUAAAGCACUUUUGGCAGGAAAGAAACGUCAUGGGUUAAUACCCCGUGAAACUGACGGUACCUGCAGAAUAAGCACCGGCUAACUACGUGCCAGCAGCCGCGGUAAUACGUAGGGUGCAAGCGUUAAUCGGAAUUACUGGGCGUAAAGCGUGCGCAGGCGGUUCGGAAAGAAAGAUGUGAAAUCCCAGAGCUCAACUUUGGAACUGCAUUUUUAACUACCGCGCUAGAGUGUGUCAGAGGGAGGUGGAAUUCCGAGUGUAGCAGUGAAAUGCGUAGAUAUGCGGAGGAACACCGAUGGCGAAGGCAGCCUCCUGGGAUAACACUGACGCUCAUGCACGAAAGCGUGGGGAGCAAACAGG